rnacentral:rRNA from 1 species
UAGCCGUAAACGAUACUCGCUAGGUGUCGGCCACGGUGCGACCGUUGUCGGUGCCGUAGGGAAGCCGUGAAGCGAGCCACCUGGGAAGUACGGCCGCAAGGCUGAAACUUAAAGGAAUUGGCGGGGGAGCACAACAACGGGUGGAGCUUGCGGUUUAAUUGGAUUCAACGCCGGAAAUCUUACCGGGACCGACAGCAACAUGAAGGCCAGGCUGAAGACUUUGCCGGAUUAGCUGAGAGGAGGUGCAUGGCGUAGUCG